rnacentral:lncRNA from 1 species
GCCUUUCAUUCUCCUCUUCUUCCAUAUUCAAAACCAACAAAAACACCAAAACCUUGAUUACAGACUAACAAUGGCAGCCGCUACAUCCGCCGCAGUCUUAAACGGCCUCGGAUCACCCUUCUUGACCGGCGGCAAGAGGAGCCACACCUUGUCAGCACCACUAAAUGCCGCCACCAGUGCCACCUCCGCCCCUAGGCGCCUUGUCAUUGCUGCCGCCGUCGCUCCCAAGAAAUCUUGGAUCCCCGCCGUAAAGGGUGGCGGCAAUUUACUCGAUCCCGAGUGGCUCGAUGGCUCGUAAGUCUUUUUCUUAUGUAUUUUUUUUUUAAAUAAAUUAAAAAACCCACUUGAUUUUCUCUCCGAGUAUACUAAGAUUUGUCCUUUGUGUAUAACCGGUUCAAAACAGGCUCCCAGGUGACUUCGGGUUUGACCCGUUAGGUCUAGGCAAGGACCCGGCAUUUCUAAAAUGGUACAGAGAAGCUGAACUCAUCCAUGGCCGGUGGGCCAUGGCUGCAGUCCUGGGCAU